CCUCUGCCCCUACUACACAGACCACUAUUUCAACCCAGAUCGACAAAGGCUUAACAACCUCUAAGACGCAAGUCCAGUCUGAAGUCAGAACCAAAAAAAGAAGACUGAGCGAAACUGAAGACUCGAUCUUGUUAACUCUGCUCAGUAAAAACAAGGACGAAACUUCUAUGCCAGUUCAAACCUCGCCGCGGCGCUCUGUGCCAGUUCAACAAAAGACGAGAGAUCCACGCCAAAAGACAAGAGACCCGCGCCAACAGAAAAAAGAAAAACCAGCAUGCCAUGGAACAAUCCAUUUUGAAGGCAUUUAGAAGAAAUAACGCCACAAAAUAUGCAGCACUUACAUUUAAUAGACGCUGCGCGACACCGGAGGAGCCAUCAUCCCAACCACUUCAUGAGGAAUUAGAGGCGGUUGACGAGCUUAUUAGUUGCAUACAGGCAGAUUUGGCACAGACGACUUUCCUCAUAACAUAUGUGAAAGAUUACGUGAGAAAAAACUGUAAACGGAGAAUACCGCUCCAGACUCUAUCAUGAGAGAUAACCGUUCAUUAUCUCCAUAUUUCAGACAAGAAAAACUACAUUGUAUUCAGUUUUGUUAGUAAAAUUCGUUGAUAAUA